rnacentral:rRNA from 1 species
AGUGAGGAAUCUUGCGCAAUGGGCGAAAGCCUGACGCAGCCACGCCGCGUGCCGGAUGAAGGCCCUAUGGGUUGUAAACGGCUUUUGAGGGGGAAGAACGACCGAGUUUCGAUUUGGUGUGACGGUACCCCUUGAAUAAGCACCGGCUAACUCCGUGCCAGCAGCAGCC